rnacentral:rRNA from 1 species
CCUACGGGGGGCUGCAGUGGGGAAUAUUGCACAAUGGGGGAAACCCUGAUGCAGCAACGCCGCGUGAGCGAUGAAGGCCUUCGGGUCGUAAAGCUCUGUCCUCAGGGAAGAAUACUGACGGUACCUUAGGAGGAAGCCCCGGCUAACUACGUGCGAGCAGCCGCGGUAAUACGUAGGGGUCUAGCGUUAUCCGGAAUUACUGGGCGUAAAGGGUGCGUAGGCGGCGCUUCAAGUCAGAGGGGAAAGGCUACGGCUCAACCGUAGUAAGCCUUUGAAACUGUAGGGCUUGAGUGCAGGAAAGGAGAGUGGAAGUCACAGUGCAGCGGUGAAAUGCGUAGAUAUUGGGAAGAUCAGCACUUGCGAAGGCGGCUCUCUGGACUGUAACUGACGCUGAGGCACGAAAGCGUGGGGAGCGAACAGGAUUAGAUACCCGUGUAGUC